GCCAGGAUAGCUCAGUUGGUUAGAACAUGGUGCUGGUGACACCAAGGUUGCAGGUUCAAUCCCUGUAUGGGGCA